rnacentral:piRNA from 1 species
UCCAAUGCUCUCACCUCAUUUGACAUCCCC